rnacentral:rRNA from 2 species
AGGUUGACCUCGGAUCAGG